AACGAACGCUGGCGGCAUGCCUAACACAUGCAAGUCGAACGAGACCUUCGGGUCUAGUGGCGCACGGGUGCGUAACGCGUGGGAACCUGCCCUUAGGUUCGGAAUAACUCCCCGAAAGGGGUGCUAAUACCGGAUAAUGUCUUCGGACCAAAGAUUUAUCGCCUUUGGAUGGGCCCGCGUUGGAUUAACUAGUUGGUAGGGUAAAAGCCUACCAAGGCGACGAUCCAUAGCUGGUCUGAGAGGAUGAUCAGCCACACUGGGACUGAGACACGGCCCAGACUCCUACGGGAGGCAGCAGUGGGGAAUAUUGGACAAUGGGCGAAAGCCUGAUCCAGCAAUGCCGCGUGAGUGGUGAAGGCCUUAGGGUUGUAAAGCUCUUUUACCCGGGAUGAUAAUGACAGUACCGGGAGAAUAAGCUCCGGCUAACUCCGUG
rnacentral:rRNA from 1 species